rnacentral:rRNA from 1 species
GAUGAACGCUGGCGGCGUGCCUAAUACAUGCAAGUCGAGCGAAGCGGGGAGGGGUGAGUAACACGUGGACAACCUCCUAUAAGACUGGGAUAACUUCGGGAAACCGGAGCUAAAACGGAUACUUACAGAUGGAUCCACGCUGCAUUAGCUAGUUGGUAAGGUAACGGCGUACCAAGGCAACGAUGCAUAGCCGACCUGAGAGGGUGAUCAGCCACACGGGAACUGAGACACGGUCCAGACUCCAACGGGAGGCAGCAGUAGGGAAUCUUCCGCAAUGGGCGAAAGCCUGACGGAGCAACGCCUCGGGAGUGAUAAAGGCCUUCGGAUCGUAAAACUCUGUUAUUAGGGAAGCGGUACCUAAACAGAAAGCCACGGCUAACUACGUGCCAGCAGCCGCGGUAAUAC